CCCUUAGAUGUUCUGGGCCGCACGCGUGCUACACUGAGUGGAUCAGCGGGUCAGGUUGCGCGAAAGCGUUUCCUAAUCUUUAAAUCCGCUCGUGAUGGGGAUUGAGGGUUGCAAUUUUCUGUCAUGAACGAGGAAUACCUUGUAAGCGCGGGUCAUCAUCCCGCGCUGAAUACGUCCCUGCCCUUUGUACACACCGCCCGUCGCUCCUACCGAUUGAGUGGUCCGGUGAGGCUUUGGGAUCUGAGCGGAAAGAGCGUUUCGCUGUUUCUGCUCGGAAAACUCAGUCGAACCUUAUCAUUUAGAGGAAGGAGAAGUCGUAACA
rnacentral:rRNA from 1 species